rnacentral:rRNA from 1 species
ACGGGAGGCAGCAGUGAGGAAUAUUGGUCAAUGGGCGAGAGCCUGAACCAGCCAAGUCGCGUGAGGGAAGACGGCCCUAUGGGUUGUAAACCUCUUUUGUGCGGGAAUAAAGUUCCCCGUGCGUGGGGUUUUGCAAGUACCGCAGGAAUAAGGAUCGGCUAACUCCGUGCCAGCAGCCGCGGUAAUACGGAGGAUCCGAGUGUUAUCCGGAUUUAUUGGGUUUAAAGGGUGCGUAGGCGGGUGAUCAAGUCAGUGGUGAAAUGGUGCGGCUCAACCGUAGCAUUGCCGUUGAAACUGGUUAUCUUGAGUGCGAAUGAGGUGGGCGGAAUGUGUCAUGUAGCGGUGAAAUGCAUAGAUAUGACACAGAACACCGAUUGCGGAGGCAGCUCACUGGGACGCGACUGACGCUGAGGCACGAAAGUGCGGGGAUCGAACAGGAUUAGAUACCCUGGUA